rnacentral:rRNA from 1 species
GAUGAACGCUGGCGGCGUGCCUAAUACAUGCCAGUCGAGCGAACAGACGAGGAGCUUGCUCCUCUGACGUUAGCGGCGGACGGGUGAGUAACACGUGGAUAACCUACCUAUAAGACUGGGAUAACUUCGGGAAACCUGAGCUAAUACCGGAUAAUAUAUUGAACCGCAUGGUUCAAUAGUGAAAGACGGUUUUGCUGUCACUUAUAGAUGGAUCCGCGCCGCAUUAGCUAGUUGGUAAGGUAACGGCUUACCAAGGCAACGAUGCGUAGCCGACCUGAGAGGGUGAGCGGCCACAAUGGAACUGAGACACGGUCCAGAAUCCUACGGGAGGCAGCAGUAGGGAAUAUUCCGCAAUGGGCGAAAGCCUGACGGAGCAACGCCGCGUGAGUGAUGAAGGUCUUCGGAUCGUAAAACUCUGUUAUUAGGGAAGAACAAAUGUGUAAGUAACUAUGCAAGUCGUGACGGUACCUAAUCAGAAAGCCACGGCUAACUACGUG